rnacentral:lncRNA from 1 species
UCUCAAGAGGCUGCUACUGAGACCUGCGUGGUGGUCCCAGCAUGGAGUCACGGAGCAGGAGAGAAUCCCUCCGCCUCAGAGAAUUGUUCCAGUGUCUCCUCUUUAUUUUUCCUGGGAAGCAUUCAAUUACAUCAAGAUGCUCCUUGUCUUGGGUCCUCUGAGAUGCCUCUAUCCCAGGAUCUGGAGCAACCGUGUCUGCUUUCCUUUUCAUUUAGCCAACAAUCCCUUUUGUCCUCAAUAGAUAUGAAAGAGUAAAGAGUCAUGAAAAUUUACUACAUGUGUGUCUGAAUGAAAAAGGGUGUGGCUCUCUUAUGGGAUAUGGAGAAAGAACUGGAGCACUCCCUAAAGAAGACAAUAAUAGAAGAAGUGGCCUUGCUUGAGAAGAUCCAUACAGAAGUCACUCUCUCCCAUAUGUCUACAAAGGAACUCCUAACUGACAGUGAGUCCAGCUUGGCCAGCAAAGCCUGAGAGGCUGACAACCCAGUAGAGCCCCCAGCUCUGGAGGAGAGUUCCAGGCCGAGGACGACUGACUUGUUGGUAGCUCUGGACAGUGGCUUCAGAUGCAUGGCCUGCUCCCGGGUCUUCCCCAUCCUUCAGAAGCAUGUGGAGCAUGGGGUCAUUGAGGGCUUCAGCUACCUUGCUUUCCAUCUUACCCUGACCUGGCUA